GAUGAACGCUGGCGGCGUGCUUAACACAUGCAAGUCGAACGGUGAAAGCGGAGCUUGCUCUGCUGGAUCAGUGGCGAACGGGUGAGUAACACGUGAGCAAUCUGCCCUUGACUCUGGGAUAAGCGUUGGAAACGACGUCUAAUACCGGAUACGAGCUGCGAAGGCAUCUUCAGCAGCUGGAAAGAACUUCGGUCAAGGAUGAGCUCGCGGCCUAUCAGCUAGUUGGUGAGGUAAUGGCUCACCAAGGCGUCGCCGGGUAGCCGGCCUGAGAGGGUGAACGGCAACACUGGGACUGAGACACGGCACAGAGUCCUACGGGAGGCAGCAGUGGGGAAUAUUGCACAAUGGGCGCGAGCCUGAUGCAGCAACGCCGCGUGAGGGAGGACGGACUUCGGGUUGUAAACCUCUUUUAGCAGGGAAGAAGCGAAAGUGACGGUACCUGCAGAAAAAGCACCGGCUAACUACGUGCCAGCCGCCGCUGUAACAC
rnacentral:rRNA from 1 species